rnacentral:rRNA from 1 species
AGGACGAACGCUGGCGGCGUGCUUCAUACAUGCAAGUCGAACGAUAAGGUCUCUUCGGAGAUACAUAAGUGGCGGACGGGUGAGUAAAAUGUAGAGAAUCUGCCCUAGAGAUGGGGACAACAGUUGGAAACGACUGCUAAUACCCAAUAUGAGCGUAGUUGAAAUACUAUUCUUGAAAACUCCGGUGCUCUGGGAUGAGUCUGCAUCUGAUUAGCUAGUUGGAGGUGUAAUGGACCACCAAGGCGACGAUCAGUAGCUGGUUUGAGAGGAUGAUCAGCCACAAUGGGACUGAGACACGGCCCAUACUCCUACGGGAGGCAGCAGUAGGGAAUUUUGCGCAAUGGGGGAAACCCUGACGCAAGCAACGCCGCGUGAAUGAAGAAGCCCUUCGGGGUGUAAAGUUCUGUCAGUAGGGAAGAAUAAAUGACUGUACCUACAGAGGAAGCAUCGGCUAACUCCGUGCCAGCCGCCGC